UGACAGCAUCCUCCACCGCUCCACACCUGACCGACUCCAUCAGAUACACAGAUGAUGGAGCUCUCCGCGCUGCCGGGUUAUUAUCCUGUUGCCUCCAUUUCGCACAUCCACUGUCCGACACAUGUUCUUCAAAACCCGUAUCGUUAAUCAGUGUACUUGAACUGUGUUUUUUUUUUCCUGUGGCUGUUUUUUUUUUUUUUUAAAGAUUGGUUGGGCUGCUCGCUUUUUAUUUAUUUAUUUAUUUUGUGAAUACUGAGCGGUCGGAUCGAGGUGGUCUUUGUUUUUCCAGGAAAAGCGAACAGGAGUGGACUGAUUAUGCUGCAUCGCUCGUGAACACCAGAAAUGGGUGUCAUCGAACCAAGGUUGCCAAUCCCGGCUCGCUCUUGGACCGGAUUUUCGUUUUUUUCUAUGGGAAAACAUCUGCCCAAUCCGGGUCUUACACAUCUACAAGUUGCUGCACUGAGCAGGCGUAGUGCGUCAUCUUGACUGUCACCAUCAGUCUCCUCUGGCGUCCAAUCCGCCAGUUGUCCAAAUGGACGCACAUCAUCCAAGGCUGUAGAGGACUAGGACUCCAUUUUACUGAGCUUCAGACAAGCAAACAAAUGGUUCAAUCAAUAGGCAGUGGACAGAGUCUGCCUUAGGGAGGAUAUCAAUAACACAUUAAUACUCUUCACACACACACACACACACACACACACAUACACACACACACACACACACACACACACACACACACACACACAC